rnacentral:lncRNA from 1 species
CGCAGCCGGGCUGUCGGUGGACCUGUAGGUAUCAGGGCUCCUUGGUCCCCUCCUGCGGGAAGCAGGCACCGAGUGGGGCUGCAUGUAGACGCAUGCGAGGGCCCACUGCUCAGUGGAGCGUGGAGGACGAGGAGGAGGCUGUCCACGAGCAAUGCCAGCAUGAGAGAGACAGGCAGCUUCAGGCGCAGGACGAGGAGGGAGGCGGCCAUGUCCCCGAGCGGCCGAAGCAGGAGAUGCUGU